rnacentral:rRNA from 1 species
AUGGAGUUGAUCUACAAGAGCGGUUACAGAAAGCUCAGCACGCAAAGGAUCCCAUUGAUCAACAACAAAGUCAUCGAGGAGGGUUUGGGGAAGCACAAUAUCAUCUGCACCGCGGACAUUGUGCAUGAGAUCUUGAUUUUUGGCCCACACUUCAAGGAGGCAAACAACUUCUUGUGGCCAUUCAAGAUGAAGGCACCACUCAAUGGCCCGAGGAGUAAGAGGAACCACUACGAUGAGAGUGGUGAGACCGGUAACCGUGAGAACUACAUCAACCAGCUCAUUAGAAGGAUGAACUAG